GGCGCCCAGGCGCGAUUCUUUACAAUGCGGGAAACCGUGAUAAGGGGACACCGAGUGCCGGCAUCAUAUGCUGGCUGUCCAGGUGUGUAAAAUACACCUGUCAGCAAGGGCCGGGCAAGACCGGUGCCAGCCGCCGCGGUAACACCGGCGGCCCGAGUGGUGAUCGUGAUUAUUGGGUCUAGAGGGUCCGUAGCCGGUUUGGUCAGUCCUCCGGGAAAUCUGACGGCUCAACCGUUAGGCUUUCGGGGGAUACUGCCAGGCUUGGAACCGGGAGAGGUAAGAGGUACUACAGGGGUAGGAGUGAAAUCUUGUAAUCCCUGUGAGACCACCUGUGGCGAAGGCGUCUUACCAGAACGGGUUCGACGGUGAGGGACGAAAGCUGGGGGCACGAACCGGAUUAGAUACCCGGGUAGUCCCAGCCGUAAACGAUGCUCGCUAGGUGUCAGGCAUGGCGCGACCGUGUCUGGUGCCGCAGGGAAGCCGUGAAGCGAGCCACCUGGGAAGUACGGCCGCAAGGCUGAAACUUAAAGGAAUUGGCGGGGGAGCAC
rnacentral:rRNA from 1 species